UUCAAAUGCCCAUUUUCGGACGCUAUCAUUUUCAAGAGCCUAGAUUAUAAAUGUCUCCUUUUUUUAUGUCUGUCAUCCAAUUAUCCUCGUCCUUUUCUCAUCGCCAAGCUCAUGGAAGAUCUCCUUUCGACGCCAUCAGUUCUCCCUUCGACUCGGGCUGUUACGGCGAGAUCACGGCCGUAUCUAAUUGUUGCCGGCACUGCCAGGGGGAGACAUUGGAUUGUGUUUCAUGGAAUCCCCACUCGUGCAAGAAAUUCCUAAUUUGAAGAAGAUGACAAACAAUUAAGAUCGCAGAUGCGAUUAUCGGUGUAGAGGAGGAAGGAGUCGCCUAUUAUUUUAAUUGGUAACUUUAUAGUGGAUGAAGUUGGUAUUUCAAGUAAUUCGAGGGAUUUAUACUGUGUUUGCUUUCAUUUAAUCACAACUUUUUUUGUUUCUCAUCUAUGCUUUCCUCUGUUUGUUGGAUUAGAGA